UACGGAGGGGGCUAGCGUUGUUCGGAAUUACUGGGCGUAAAGCGCACGUAGGCGGCUUUGUAAGUUAGAGGUGAAAGCCCAGGGCCCAACCCUGGAAUUGCCUUUAAGACUGCAUCGCUUGAACAUCGGAGAGGUGAGUGGAAUUCCGAGUGUAGAGGUGAAAUUCGUAGAUAUUCGGAAGAACACCAGUGGCGAAGGCGACUCACUGGACAUGUAUUGACGCUGAGGUGCGAAAGCGUGGGGAGCAAACAGG
rnacentral:rRNA from 1 species